UCCCUGGUAGUAUAUCGGUUAGUACACGCGCCUGUCAUUGUGUUCAACUUUCCGCGCGAAAGCUGGGUUCGACUCCCAGCCAGGGAG